ACGUAGGGUGCAAGCGUUGUCCGGAAUUACUGGGCGUAAAGAGCUCGUAGGUGGUUUGUCGCGUUGUCCGUGAAAACUCACAACUCAAUUGUGGGCGUGCGGGCGAUACGGGCAGACUGGAGUACUGCAGGGGAGACUGGAAUUCCAGGUGUAGCGGUGAAGCGCGUAGAUAUCUGGAGGAACACCGGUGGCGAAGGCGGCAUCCUGGACCGGUAUUGACGCUGAUGCGCGAAAGCCAGGGGAGCAAACGGGA
rnacentral:rRNA from 1 species